rnacentral:rRNA from 1 species
UACGUAGGGUGCAAGCGUUGUCCGGAAUUAUUGGGCGUAAAGAGCUCGUAGGCGGCUUGUCGCGUCGGCUGUGAAAACCUGGGGCUCAACCCCGGGCCUGCAGCCGAUACGGGCAAGCUAGAAUUCGGUAGGGGAGACUGGAAUUCCUGGUGUAGCGGUGAAAUGCGCAGAUAUCUGGAGGAACACCGGUGGCGAAGGCGGCAUCCUGGACCGGCAUUGACGCUGAGGAGCGAAAGCCAGGGGAGCAAAGCGGG